GAAAGAUUCAUCGGAAGAGGAUGGGCAUGCGGCGCAUUAGCUAGACGGCGGGGUAACGGCCCACCGUGGCGACGAUGCGUAGGGGUUCUGAGAGGAAGGUCCCCCACACUGGUACUGAGACACGGACCAGACUCCUACGGGAGGCAGCAGUGAGGAAUAUUGGUCAAUGGGAGAGAUCCUGAACCAGCCAAGCCGCGUGAGGGAAGACGGCCCUAUGGGUUGUAAACCUCUUUUGUCGGAGAACAAAACCCGGGACGAGUCCCGGACUGCGUGUAUCCGAAGAAAAAGCAUCGGCUAACUCCGUGCCAGCAGCCGCGGUAAUACGGAGGAUGCGAGCGUUAUCCGGAUUUAUUGGGUUUAAAGGGUGCGUAGGCGGUCUGUUAAGUCAGCGGUAAAAUUGCGGGGCUCAACCCCGUCGAGCCGUUGAAACUGGCAGACUUGAGUUGGCGAGAAGUACGCGGAAUGCGCGGUGUAGCGGUGAAAUGCAUAGAUAUCGCGCAGAACUCCGAUUGCGAAGGCAGCGUACCGGCGCCAGACUGACGCUGAGGCACGAAAGCGUGGGGAUCGAACAGGACUAGAUACCCUGGUAGUCCACGCAGUAAACGAUGAAUGCUGGUUGUCCGGGUCGAAUGAGACCUGG
rnacentral:rRNA from 1 species